UACGGAGGGUGCAAGCGUUAAUCGGAAUUACUGGGCGUAAAGCGUGCGUAGGCGGUUCGUUAAGUCUGUUGUGAAAGCCCCGGGCUCAACCUGGGAAUGGCAAUGGAUACUGGCGAGCUAGAGUGUGUCAGAGGAUGGUGGAAUUCCCGGUGUAGCGGUGAAAUGCGUAGAGAUCGGGAGGAACAUCAGUGGCGGAAGGCGGCCAUCUGGGACACACUGACGCUGAGGCGACGAAAGCGUGGG
rnacentral:rRNA from 1 species